UAGGUGGUUACUGCAGGCAGCUGAGCUGGCACAGGAGGGAACCAAGGAUCCUGCCGUAGAAGACCUUGGUGGGAGUGCGUCAUUCUAUCUUCUGCCCAUGAUGCCCGGGCUGGGUGCCUCUGCUCGGUUCCAUGUUUGUUGAGCACCUCUCGUGGCUGGUGCUGAGGACACAAGUGCAUGAUACAGGAGCCACAGGUGAAACUGGGACCCAGAGAGGCCAACUGACAAGGCCCAAACUGGGCAUCUGGCUAACGGCAGAAUCAGAAGAAGUCAGCUCCCCCAAACAUUCAAGCCAGCGUCUUCCUACUCUGCUGAGUAGGAAGGACCAACCCAUAUCCCUGCCAGUGUGGGGCUUGAACUCACAACCCUGAGAUGAAGAGUCACAUGCUCCACCAACUGAGCCCGCCAGGUGCCGCUGGACUAGAUGUCGUUCCCUUC